GGUACCUCAAGCAGAUCUAUGCGUAAGACAUGGCCAGCAGCUUCCGCGCUCCUAUGGCUCCGCUUUGGUUGCUCGUUCCAGUUUAGCAUCUGCAUUCUGUUUGAAUGGAAUGAUAUGUUCUUCCUCUUCUUCGCAUCUCUUUCUCUGGGGGAGACCAUAAGCAUCCUGCAUUUUAUUCAGAACAAGGCGUGUGCAUUAGACAGCAUGAUGCACAUGAUUCUCCCUUUUUUGAAGCAUGAUGUGCAUGAUUUUCUUUUAUGAAUGCGCAUUCUGAACGUGCACAUGACAUUUCCUUCUAUGCAUGUCCAAGCUCUGUUCAGUACAUAUUUUAUUGUCAGCGCCCUUUUGGAUUCUAGAUUCACAUGUACAAGACAAUAUCAAUGCUGGAAAAGACCCAUCUCAGAUAGAAUACAAUUUCGUAUUUUGACAGCUUGUUUCCUUCCUACAGGCCAUUGUUGCUCUCAAGAAGGGUGCACAUCUCCUGAAAUGUGGCAAGAGAGGGAAACCCAAAUUCUGCAUUGUCAGGCUAUCUUAUGUGAGUAGCUUUGAUUAUGUAAUUAUGCAGGGCACAAUGCUUCAAGGUUACAUGUUCUUCCAUUUGCUUCAUAGUUUUCAUUUUUGAAGAGAUUGUCCUAUGCAACCCUGCAUCGGCGUGUCUAUCCCCUAUAGGCUAACACUUAACAUUGACACCUCCAGAAUUCUAAAGCCUGCUGCCUGACUACCUAAGUAGAUGGGAUUGAUGAUGGUGAUAUCGAUCUUUUAGAACUUUUACCACGAAAUUCCAUCUAUAGUAACAUCUACCUGCUUACAUCUUCUAUUUUUCUUAAAAAAGAAGAGACUGAUCUGGAAAUUUCAUAUUAAGAAGAGAAUGAGCACCCAAAUUCAAGCAGGAGAGAACUCAAAUCUGGGUGAUGGGAAUGUGCACCCACACCUCCCACCAAUUAGGAUAGGUCCAGUUCCUCUAUAUAUGUAGAAAUUUCAUGGAAAAACUCAACAAGUUGAGAAACAAGUCCGUGUGAAAUUUAUAACGAGGUAUACUAAAUGCUGCUCUAAGGGUGUGUUUGGUUCUGGGGUCGAAGUGGGUUGGGUUGGAGCCGACCCACUUCGACCCAUGUUUGGUUGGAGAAGAGGUGGGUUGGAGUCGACCCAGAUGGAGAAUAUUCCCAGUUGAUCCGGGUUCAUCCGAUCCCUAAAAAAUGAUGGAAUCAUCCCAACCCACUUCUUCUCCGUUCGCCCGAUGCUCGAUCCGUUUCUCUCGCUCGUCCGACGCUUGCCCGACGCCGCCGCUGUCCGCCUGACCCCACCGCCGCCUGCCCACCAUCGGUUUGCCCUCCACCCGCCCCGUGCCCUCCGGCAGCCGCCUCCCCUGCGGCUCCAACUCCGGCGGCGCAGCUCCCCCGCGGCUCCAAUGGGGCGACGGCGCAGGUGGGGGCGGCGCAGGGAGCAGGGUGGGGGGAGGGCGGCGUGCGGGGAGAAGGGGAGGCAGGGGCGGCGGCGCAGGUAGGGGGCGGCGCAGGGAGCGGCGUGCGGGGAGGGCGGCGUGCGGGGAGAAGGGGAGGCAGGGGCGGCGGCGCAGGUGGGGGGCGACGCUGGGAGCGGCGUGCGGGGAGAAGGGGAGGCAGGGGUGGCGGGGCAGGUGGGGGACGGCGCAGGGAGCAGGGGGGCUGGGUCGGCGUGCCGGCAGUCGGGGAUCGGCCGGGGAGGAUGGGUUGCGGGAGGAGAGGAGGAAGAAGAUGGGAGGGAGGAGAAAAAAAAAAGAGACUGACACGUGGACCCCACGACUGAUAGGUAGGGUCCACAACUAACGGUGUUAAAAGGACAUCCACUCGACCCUCUCAACCUCUCCGACCAAACAAAAGACUGGGUCGACUCCAACCCACCCAUCCAAACACGGGAUGGGUCGGCUCCAACCCAACCCUAAGAUAGUCUUUUCAUUUUCAUUUUCUCAACCAUCUCCUUCGUUAGCAAUGGUCAGAAUCCUAUCGAUGUAUUCUGCUUGACUUUCCAUUGAUCAUUUAUAGCUAUCCUUGUUUCCUUACUGUUGACAAAAAAACAAAGCAGAUGCUAUGGUUCUGUUGGUGAUUUUGAAAUGGCCAUGCUUCAUUAUUCUUACACCUAUGAUGUAUUCUUUUUACCAAGAUAAACUUGCAAGCAAGUUGGUGCUCCAACAAAAUCAACCAAAUAAGCACAUUUCACUAGAUCCCAACAAUAUAUUUGUCUCAUUCAAGCUACAUAGAGAUUAACUACAGUUUGCCACAGCAAGGAAACUAGGCUUGUCUCCUGAAAAGAGACUGAACCUUACAACAAGAAAUGGGAAAACUGACAACCAGCCUUCCAAGAUUACGGUUUGCUCUUGUCCCACCCAACAAUAUCCAAAGCAUCCUCAGCUUUGGUUUACUAUAUUUCUGAGCUCUUGAUAGAUCAGCCAACUUUCCUGCUUCCUUCUUAAUUCAAAGCGGGGGGGGGGGGGGGGGGGGGGGGGGCUGUCUGCACCUUCCCGCCUCUUUUUUUUUUGAGGGUCCUGUCUCAUUUUUUUUAUAGAUCAGCCAACUUGAGUAAACUGAAAAUGGAUGUCUUCCACUUUUGCAUACCAUGAUACUCAAAUAUUAAAUAUCUGAGAUUUUGCUCCUCUGGAUCACAUCAAUGUAUUUGAUAUUUUGCUAUUUGCAGGAUGAGAGAGCACUAAUAUGGUACUCCAAAGAGAGGGAAAAACGUUUGAGCUUGAAUUCUGUGUCCAGUGUAGUUCUUGGACAGAAGACUGUAUGUGGUUUUCCUUUUCCAAAUGUAUGCUAUUAUUCCUUAGUAGUUGACAUUAUGGUUGGAAGACACUGAUUUUCUUAGCAUUCAAUAUUUUACAGACAAAACUUUUGCGUCUGCAUUGGCCAGAAAAGGAACCUCAUUCCCUGUCAGUUAUAUAUAAGAAUGGUGAAUCCUCACUUGACUUGGUAUGCACUCCUCAGUUGGCCACAUUGUUUAUGAUCUAUUUACUUAUAUAAUGCUUUAUUUGACAAUCAUGUUUACCCAGGUCUGCAAAGAUAGACAUCAAGCUGAAUGUUGGUAUUUAGGCCUUACAACCCUAAUAUCAGCUCCAUGCACCCCACUACUUCUGGUUAACUCAACAAACGGCUGUCAGAUAAACAGCUGUACAAAUAGCCCUCCUAGCUACAUUCAGCAAAGGAGUAGGCUCUUUGCUGUGCACCAUGGAAGAAAUUUCACAAAGGUUCAUUUUGGAAUUCUUGCAUGCAUGAUUUUUAUGCAGGAACAUGAUAGUGUGCCUGAGUGGAAGUUUGACAUUGCUUGUGAAUUUUCUUAUAUCACACCAAGUAGCAUGUUCGAACUCAAGAAAAAGGACAUAUUGAUGGUGAUUGCCAUAUUAGGUCGUGCUGACUGCUGAGGUUAUAUUGAUGAUGGCUGACCAGUUAGUUUGUAGUGAAUAUAUUUCAUAUAACUAUUUUCUACACAAAAAUUACGACUACAAUGCAUGCACUAGUUGCAUUUAAACUAAGAUGUUCAACACAGCCUUUAAACCGCAUAUAUACGUUUUCGAUUAAGUAUGAUAGUAUGGCUGAUGGUUGUAAAUAGCCAUCUCAAUUUCCAUACUCCCUCCAGUCACAAAUAAGUGACGUUUUAGGGUUGUAUUACGUCAACCAUUUCAAACUUUGGUUACAAAUUACUAUCAAUGUAUUGUUUUUUAUAAGUGAUUUAUUUGAGUUUAGAUAUUUGAAAAUGGUAUAAAUUACUAUCUUGAAAUUUAGCUUCAUAAAAGUAUUACUUUUGCCAUGUUUUGUAAAUAUUUGGUAGUGCCAGUCAAAUUUGUGUUUUGAAGACCAUGGUGAUGUAUUAUUUGUGGCUGAAGGAGUAUGGUCUAACUGCAUCAUGCUUUUACUUGUAUUGUUCUAAUGAAAACUUAUCCAAGCAAUUUAUUCAUGAAGGUACACUCAUUAUAUGGCAGUCCUAGGUUGAUACAGAACAAAUACUCGCAUUCUUACUCAGAACCAUUCUUUUCUCCAAGACAGAGAGCAUGGUCAGAACUAGAUUCUUACUUGGAAAAGAUUAGCCCCGAAUUGGCAAAUCGAGUAAAAAAUGAUUUGAGGGACAUAAAAUCUUCUGAAAAGAUUACGGACCAAAGAAUUAUGCAUAUGCCUAAACUGAAACAAUCUGAGGGAUCAAAUGCAGCAUCAGAUUCUCUGAAGGACAUCUUUGUCUGGGGCGAUAUUCAGGGUCGUAUGCUAGAUCGCGGACAUUUAUCAGCGGCCAAUGUCUCACUUCCAAGGUUAUUGAAAUCAGCACAAAUUCUUGAUGUGCAGAGUAUUACCUGUGGAGAGAAACACGCAGCAAUAGUUACUAAGCAAGGUCAGGUAUUCUCAUGGGGUGAGGAGAAUAGUGGGAGAUUGGGACACAAAACAAGAGACAGUGUCUCUCAUCCUAAAAUCAUCGACUCUCUUUCCUCCAUACCGGUGAAGGCUAUCGCAUUUGGGGCAAAGCACACCUGUGCAGUUUCAGUUUCAGGAGAACUUUAUGAAUGGGGUGAAGGGAUUCAUAGCCUAGGGCUGUGGAAUGAUCAGUGUCGAAGAAGCCAGUGGUUCCCGCAUAAACUGAUCAGUACUUCAGAUGGCAUCUCUGUGUCGAAGAUUGCAUGUGGUCAGUGGCAUACGGCUAUCAUAUCCUCCACCGGUCAGCUGUUCACUUAUGGAGAUGGUACAUUUGGUGUUCUUGGACAUGGUGACACAUGUUGUGUUGCUCAGCCUAAAGAAGUGGAGUCCUUGAGAGGGUUAAGAACCAAGUCUGUUGCAUGUGGGCCGUGGCACACAGCUGCUAUUGUGGAAACAUCAGGAACUCCCAAGAGCAAUGCUCCUGGUGGGAAGCUAUUCACAUGGGGUGAUGCAGGUGAAGGGAAGCUGGGCCAUACUGACAAAAAAUCGAAGCUUGUACCAACUCGUGUCGAAACACUCGUUGACUGUGAUUUUAUUCAGGUAUCCUGUGGUAUGUCAAUAACAGUUGUGCUAACAAUAACAGGUGUUGUAUUUACCAUCGGAAGCAAGAAGCAUGGACAAUCAGGGAAUCCUCGACCUGAGGACACAUCUAUUUGCAUGGUUGAAGGGCCACUUAAGACUGAGUUUAUCAAAGAUAUAUCCUGCGGCACUUCCCAUGUCGCAGUCUUGGCAAUGAAUGGGAAAGUCUUUACAUGGGGCAAAGGCACAGAAGGGCAACUUGGUUUAGGUGAUUAUGUUGACAGGACCUCCCCAACUCUGGUGGAGGCCCUGGAAGAUAAACAGGUGGAAAGUAUAACUUGUUGUUCCAAUUUCACUGUUGUAAUUUGUGUGCAUAAGGCAAUCUCGUGCAAGGAACAAUCUGUAUGCAGUGGUUGCCGGUUGGCAUUUCGGUUUACAAGGAAGAAACACAACUGCUACAACUGUGGUUCCAUGUUCUGCAAUUCCUGCAGCAGCAACAAGGUUCCAAGGGCAGCCCUUGCACCAGAUAAGAGCAAAAGGUGUCGUGUUUGUGAUGCUUGUUUUAAUGAGCUGAAUAACACUGCAGAGCACAGCAAAAUGAGUUCUGGAUCAAAGAUCCAAAAAGAAGAAACGUCUUUAACAGAAAUAAGAACAUACACACCAAAGUUAUCACGCAUGCUUAAGGAAGCAAAUUUCAUCAUGGAAAAAAUGGGCACGGCACACAGCCCCAACCAGAGAAAUCAGGACUUGGCCACUCUGAAUCAAGUGCAAAAACAGAGGUGGGGACAAGUAGACUGUCCCAAUCAAUUCAAAUGUGCACGAGACAGCAUUCCAUACCGGUCGACAUCAAAGAAACAGACAGUCGAUGUUUGUUGUAUAGGGAGAAUGAUUGAUCCAGUAUCACAAAAGACUGCUACCCUUUUGCCACAAGCCACAAAUGAUAGGAGAAAAGAACAAGAUUUGAUGGAAAAGAUACUGCUGGAGGAAGUGAAACAGCUUCAAGCACAGGUUAUUUCUACAACUUCUAAGAGACCCGCAUGUUAACUUUUAUAUCCUUCUACCAAAUGAUUUUGUUGUUUUUAUUCUAUGUUGGAAAUCCUUGAUUCGCUUGAGACAUAUGGUGAUCUUGCUCUUACUUACGCAGGUAACCACUCUAGCAGAAGAAUGCCGGCAUAAGAGCUUAAAAGUUCAGUUGUAUAAACGAGAACUUGAGGAAACCUGGUUGAUAGUCAGGGAUGAGGCCACAAAGUGCAAAGCUGCGAAAGAUAUUAUAAAGAUUUUAACAAAUCAGGUAUAAUGCUGACUUGUAACAAAUAUCAAACUGUUUAAGAUUCUUUCAGCCUGAUGUCAAAUUAAGUUAUGUCCUGCAAACUUAUGCAGAGGAACGCUUUAUCAAAGAAACUUUUAGGUGGUCUGGAACUAGAUAAUUCCAGUAUCAUACCUGACCCGCCCGACAAAACUCUUGCCACUGGCAAAAUUCCACCGCUAAACAGCAUCAGGGAUCAACGCUACAUAGAGGAAGUGGAUAUACAAUCUACAGCAUCUUCUAACACUGUUGCCAUGGAUGACUCAGCUGUGCAUCAGAAUGACAGAAGAGCCUCCAAUAGCAGCAGAGGUUAUGAUGGAGGAACAGAUAGCACAAUUGCUCCUACUGAUUCCAAUGGUGUGAUCGAGCAAAUUGAGCGUGGAGUGUACAUUACAGUCGUUACAUCCCCCAGUGGUAAGAAGGGAAUCAAGCGCAUCCGGUUCAGGUGAACUGUUGAAACCAUUGGACAUACUUUUCUGUCAAUACAAUUGGCUUAUAAAUUGAAUAAUUUUUACAACAACUUGCUCUUGAUUGAUCUCGCAGCCGGAAGCAUUUUGGAGAGGCGGAGGCGCAGAAAUGGUGGGAAGAGAAUGAGAGCAGGGUAUUUGCAAGGUACGCCAGCAUGGAGUACCUGGCAACAUAAUCUACAGAUGAAAAAUGUACAUGGGUAGCCAGUUUUUUUAUAAUGUCAGUAGGGCAUGCAUACAGCAACACGAUACUGUUCAGUAAAGAAGUGGAUAGAUGAGGUAGAAGGAAUCCUGAUGAUCAUCAAUUGCUUUCUAGCAGAUGAACGGCCGAACGGGGUUGUAUCCUCGCGGUGGGUUAACUUAGGUCCAUGAUUUUGCUUCAACUCAAUACUAAUUCGACACGAAUUGGAGUUUGUGUAAUUCGAAUUGGGGAUCAGGGAGGCUGGUGUCUGUAAUUCGAAUUCCAGACGCAAUAGUAAAUUUGCUGGCGGCACCAGUAGGCGAUCAUUCAGAUCACUGUAAGCUUGUAGCACGGAUAGGGGAUUGGCACCCGUUCCCUAACCCUAGUUUACUCAUAUCAGAAUCAAACAAUACAAGGAGCAGAGACGUACCAGAGUGGCUACUCGCCGUAGCCGCCUGGGCGCAUCCCUCCCCGGCGGCGCCUUCUGUCCAUGGCACGGCCUCUCUCCUCCCGUGGCCCGCUCCCUCCAGCCACCGCUACCGCCUCUGCCUCUGCCGCCGCCGCCUCCUCCAGCCCGCCGGGCCGCCGCGAGGACUCAACGGUGGAGCAGCGCCCAAUUUGGAUUUCGGAGGCUUCGUUCUGUUUGAGUCUUCCGUGCUUCCGGGCUCCAGCGGCGCAUUGCAGUUGCAGGCCGGGCCCUAUGCUCGUGUCCUGCACGCAUCUCUACAGUGCCCCUGCAUUUG
rnacentral:lncRNA from 1 species